rnacentral:rRNA from 1 species
UACGAAGGGGGCUAGCGUUGUUCGGAAUUACUGGGCGUAAAGCGCACGUAGGCGGAUCGAUCAGUCAGGGGUGAAAGCCCAGAGCUCAACUCUGGAAUGGCCUUUGAGACUAGAGAACUAGGGUACGGGAGAGGUGAGUGGAAUUCCGAGUGUAGAGGUGAAAUUCGUAGAUAUUCGGAAGAACACCAGUGGCGAAGGCGGCUCACUGGCCCGUUACCGACGCUCAGGCGCGACAGCGUGGGGAGCAAACAGG